UUUCAGAAAUAAUAUGAAUUUCCUAAUGGGCUCUUGGUGGCCUAAUCUGGAAGACUUAUAUGAAGCCAAUGUCCCUGUUUAUAGGUUUAUACAAAGACCUGGGGAUUUGGUAUGGAUAAAUGCUGGCACUGUUCAUUGGGUUCAGGCUAUUGGCUGGUGCAACAAUAUUGCUUGGAAUGUUGGCCCGCUUACAGCCUGUCAAUAUAAAUUGGCAGUGGAACGGUACGAGUGGAAUAAACUGCAGAGUGUAAAGUCAAUAGUACCCAUGGUUCAUCUUUCAUGGAACAUGGCACGAAAUAUCAAGGUCUCAGAUCCAAAGCUUUUUGAAAUGAUCAAGUAUUGCCUGUUAAGAACACUCAAGCAGUGUCAGACUUUAAGGGAAGCUCUAAUUGCUGCAGGAAAAGAGAUUGUCUGGCAUGGGCGAGCAAAGGAUGAGCCAGCUCAUUACUGUAGCAUUUGUGAGGUAGAAGUCUUUGAUCUGCUUUUUGUCACAAGUGAAAGCAAUUCUCGGAAGACCUACAUUGUACAUUGCCAAGACUGUGCACGAAAGAUAAGCGCAAACCUGGAAAACUUUGUGGUGCUAGAACAGUACAAAAUGGAGGACUUGAUGCAUGUCUAUGACCAAUUUACAUUAGGAAAGAAAAUUGAUGGGAUAGAAAUCUGUGGAAAAAGUACAAUAAUUUACCAGAACAUACCAUUGAGUUUGCAGGGACUGUUGCAAUUCAUAAAGACGUGGCUUUAAAAAUCCAUGCGAGACCAUCUGAAAAUCAUAAUGGUUAAAUGGAGAGUGAGGAGGAAUGAGAACAAUAAAAGUUGGAGACACUAGCACCAAUUUCAAGAGCAACUCUAAUACAUUGGUCUGGUAGGAAGUCAGUACAGCUGCAAGAUGUUCUGUAUACUAAAAACCUUAAAUCAGCCUUGUUUUCCUACUGAGCAAGUGGAUGUUCUCAAAUAUUUUUUUCUUUGAUGUGGGGUCUCCUUUGCAUUUCUAAUACAAAGCAGAAAAGACCAGGUCCAUCACCAUUUCUGUCUGCAGACUUGUGCUGCUCCACCAUUGCCAUCCUCCUCAUCUUGACAUUUUUCCAUGGACAUUAAAUGAAUAUUUUUCUGAUAUUCAGGAAGUGACCCAGUUCUGCACCACUGAUUUUUGUAGCUAUCCCGUAAGGCUGCUGGCUGAAAGCUGUGUCUAUGCAACCUUCCAAGUGCGGAGUGUCAACCAACUGGACAGGAGAGAGCACUGCCUCCUACUCCAGAACUCAAAACAAAUAAAGCUCAUCCAGCUGUACUUCAAAAAAAAAAAUAAUUCCAUGUUUUGUAUAUAUCUGACAAAACUGGCAACAUUAUACAGACUACUGACUUGAAGACCACCUCUUUUGUAUUUCUCCGUUUCUGGGCUGAUGAGUUGGUUUCAUCCAUUUUUCCCCUUCAGAAUUUCCCUUGGAAUAAGUACUAGCCUAGCUGGUCAUUUCUUUGUAAGGUAGUUAGAAAUUUUAAGUCUUUCUUUGGGCAACAUUUUUUUUUUUUAAUGUGAAAAGUUAGGUGAUAAAUUUUUUACUGUUUUUAUGUUUUUCUGUCUUGUUUUGAAACCAUAACGGUUACACUUUUGGUUCCUAAAUAAAAUUUAAAAAAAUUAACAGCCAAGUCACAAAGAUAAAUGGGUUGCACAUAGACUAAGGAAUAAACUUCAGAUUUGUGAUUUUUGUUUCUAAUCUUGAUGUAAAUUUACACUAUUUAUAAAUACAUAUUUAUUGCUUGAAAAUAUUUGUGAAUGGAAUGCUGUUAUUUUUUCCAGAUUACCUGCCAUUGAAAUUUUAAGGAGUUCUGUAAUUUCAAACACUACUCCUAUUACAUUUUCUAUAUGUAAAUAAAACUGCUUAGCAUUGUACAGAAACUUUUAUUAAAAUUGUUUAAUGUUUAAA